GCAAUAGGCAACUAACGAAGCCUCUGUGGGGCAGAGAUGGAACCAAAACCGAAUCUGAAGUUCAUCUUCUCUCCCAACUUCUGUAAGUUGCUAAACACAUAAAGAUGCCACGGGACAAAGCCUGCUCAGGCUCCUUGGAUGCUUGAACGUGGUUCUCGGAUUUGUUAGGAUUGCGGCUUCAUUUCAGAAGAUCACCCCCAGAGCAAGGUGGACCUGUUCUGAUAUGGGACUCAUAAGAAGUGGG
rnacentral:lncRNA from 1 species